GAACGACCGUGGCUACAGCGCUGCGGUAAUUGGUAUUCACUAACGUGUCAAACCUCAUCGACGAACUGUAGGCUGUGAUAACUCGAGGCUGUGCGCACGGACGAGAUAGGGCUUGCAACAAAAACCGUAAAAUGAAACCGAUAACUGUAGAAAUAUAAUAUUUUAUUGACAAAUGGAAUGUUUUAUUCAGUUUAGAAUGUUAUUUAAAUAAAUAUUAUAUAAAAUAAACAUAAAUUUAUACAUCAAACAUUUGAUUUUGUUUUUUAAAGUUAAGAUUUGUUUGAAUACCCUUGCUUCCAUUGCCGUAAAAUAAACAAAUAACACUUAUACGUAGGUACGUAGAGAGUAUUAUAUUCCUUGUACUUAACAUUCCAGAGGCGCACUUUUUGUAUUUGUUUAUUCUCUUUUAAAAAUAAUUAAUAAAAUUAACGUAACUUUACCAACGUUUUAUAAGUUUGGAUGUAUCUAUCAAAUACGUCCACGCCGUCAUUUGACUGACAGUAUCCCGAUGACACUUAUCUCCUUCACAAUAGCAGCCUCAACUAGAAAGAGAGUAGUCUCGCAAAGAUUUGUUGCCACUGAAGAGCACCGAGUAGAGACAGAACAAAUUUUGAUAGAGAAUCAGACAACACUAGUUCAUAUCUUAUAGCUAAUGAAUGAGAUAUGACUAAAUUAAAGUCAGCCAUUGUACGAUUUAAUUAAAAAUUUUUUAAAAAAAUGUCAAAUAAUUUUUAUUCAAUUAAAUUUAAAAUAUUAUAAAUGGUAAUUCUUUAUGAUUCUACCAUCCAUUGUGAAGAAGGGGAGAAACCUCAAUUUUGGUUUUUAAAAUACUAAUAGAUUUUACAAUAAUACAUUUCUAAAAAUAUACACUGCCAAACAUAACAAGAGUUAUUGGAAUUAUUAGUUAAAUCAAGUUCAUUAUUGAAAAUAUAAGAUUAAAUUAUGUCAUUUAAUAGUCAUUAGUAAUUUUGAAAUAUAAGUUUCAUCUUAUAUAAUUUUCAAAUAAAAACACAAUUACAAUAAAAUUUUAUAAUUAUAAACUUGUUUCAAUUUCAAAUAAAUAAUUUUUAAUGAA